AUUUCAGAAACUAAUUGUCACAGAGCAACCCACAGGUCAAUUUUAGGGGCCACAAGGUCCAAAAACAACUUUUAUUAGACCAGCGAGGCACAGGGUUUUAGCACUCCAAAUGUGACUUAAAUACAGGUUCGGAUAUCAGUGGAGGAAAUUAUUGAGAGGGGCAGCCACUAAUACAACAGGAGGUCCACAGAGUGCAUGCACGUGGCUUCACCAAAACAAUGCCGGAGCCGUCCCCGAGUCCCGGAGGAGUACACACUUGCCUAAGCACGGUGUGGGAUUAUUUUAUAGAGAUACACGUACUCGCAGUGAGUACAGAAAGUGUGCACUCGCGAUUCCGCGAGAGUAAAUUUAUAAUACGCUCGCAGUCCUGCGAGAGUUAUUUCAUGCAGAGAAAAGUCCCAUCAGAGUUCCAGACCCGAGCGGACGGAGGAAGAAAUGCGGCCGACCCAAUAUGAGUGAUAAAGCAUACUUCAACUUUAUUGCCCGAGAUAGCGUGCAUUUAUACCAAAUACCAUAAUUAUGCAUACUUGUCUCUAUCUAAUAGGCUAAGCACAUUUACUUACUCCACCUACUUGGGUUUAGCUAGCUAUGCGCAUCCCACAUUCUUCUGACUCUUAUCUCUUCAAAAAUAUCCUAACCCUGCCUUAGUUAGUACUUUUCCGUUCCCCCCUUUCCCACGGCCUAAUAGACAAGCUAACUAAGGCCUACUUAUGUCAACUAAAAUGGGCUCUGCUCGUACAGUUGCUUGGUGGACUCAUGUCUGUGCUCCUUGAGCCAAUCCCCGACAUCUCCCCCCUUUUCUUUUUUUAAUGAGCAGAGCCUGCCCAAGUGUCUGCUCUAAAAUCUUCUUAAUACAUGAUAUAGCACAACUCAAGCAUAUUAAUGCAACUACUACUAUGAUUAAGAUAGCCAGAGCACUCUGCAAAAGCCAUUUUACCCAUCCUCCUAGUCCAAACCAGUUCAUGAGGCCGUCUAAGCCAAAGAGGCCCACAUCCUCUCUGAUCUUCUGUGAAUGGUCCGUAAGUUGUUUAAUCUCCUCGUGGAUGGAUCUCGACUUAUUCUGUAAAUCCAUAAAAGUGUUUUUCUCAUCUUGCUCUUUUGUGAUCUAUUAUCAUAGAUACAUUGGACGUUAAGAGAGUUAAUAGUCCCAAAAUACACAGUCCUCCAACAGCGUUAGAAGGAAUUCCUGGUCAGGCUCUAUCUUCACAGAUCAAGAAUACACCAUACAGGAGGUUUUAGGGUCGCUGUCAAUGAUAUCCCUUGCAUUCUUCUGUGAAGCAUUACACCGUCGAGUUUCAUUUCUGUAGUCACCAAGAGUAGCAUUAACAUUUUGUAUUUUGUCCAUUCAUGUUCUUGUAUACUGUUCUGACACUUUUCACAAACCGGCUGAAUACAAGCAUCCAUGGGCAUAGAUGCCAUCAAUUCCAGUUCCUGUGGUUCGAUGUCUGCUUCCAGGUGGCAAUUAAUCCAAAGUGCCGUGUUAGUAUUAUUACAGUUCGUUGCAAUGCCUCUGCAUCAACCACUAUUUGAAACAGUCGUGUGAUGCUGCUGUAGUCAUCAAGGAAGACACCAACCAAGCAUGUGUGGAACGUUUUUUCCAGAGACAUCGUAGUUAGGCAUAUAGAUGGUCAGUCAUGUUGGCUAAAGUAAUCCACAUGUUAGUCUUUGUCUGUGCAGGCAUCCAAAACACAGCAGCUGCAACAAUCAUUGUCAGGAAGAUAACACAGGUUUCACGUUUCGUGCUGGCAACCAUUGCAGCUCUUGAUCUGUAAAAACAUAAGCAUAACCUCUCCCCCAGGUUAUCAAUUGGUGUGGCCUUUUCCAUUGAACGUUAACUAGUGAUUUGACCAUAACUAAUGCAGGUUCUUUCUGAUUUAGCAUGGUUUUGGGUCAUAGUUACAAAGUGUUUCAUCACAGGGCAAAUUUAGGCUGUACCACUUAGAUACAAGUGAUUCAUCACAUACAAUCCUUUUGACAAUUCCCCUUUUUGUUUAAAAAACAAAACAAAACAAAACAAACAAAACAAAACAAAAACACAGUUCAGAAUCAGAUACGUGCGUUGGAUCUUGACUACGUACUCAAAAUCGCAAAUCAAAUUCAGAGGCUCCUUAAAUUUCGCAAAU